rnacentral:rRNA from 1 species
UGGGGAAUUUUGGACAAUGGGCGAAAGCCUGAUCCAGCAAUGCCGCGUGUGUGAAGAAGGCCUUCGGGUUGUAAAGCACUUUUGUCCGGAAAGAAAUCCUUGGCUCUAAUACAGUCGGGGGAUGACGGUACCGGAAGAAUAAGCACCGGCUAACUACGUGCCAGCAGCCGCGGUAAUACGUAGGGUGCAAGCGUUAAUCGGAAUUACUGGGCGUAAAGCGUGCGCAGGCGGUUUGCUAAGACCGAUGUGAAAUCCCCGGGCUCAACCUGGGAACUGCAUUGGUGACUGGCGGGCUAGAGUAUGGCAGAGGGGGGUAGAAUUCCACGUGUAGCAGUGAAAUGCGUAGAGAUGUGGAGGAAUACCGAUGGCGAAGGCAGCCCCCUGGGCCAAUACUGACGCUCAUGCACGAAAGCGUGGGGAGCAAACAGGAUUAGAUACCCUGGUAGUCCACGCCCUAAACGAUGUCAACUAGUUGUUGGGGAUUCAUUUCCUUAGUAACGUAGCUAACGCGUGAAGUUGACCGCCUGGGGAGUACGGUCGCAAGAUUAAAACUCAAAUGAAUUGACGGGGUCU